AGAAUAAGGGAUGUCAAUUUAGGGAAAGAAAUGAGAUAAUAAAGAAGAGGGGGUCAUUGAAAGUGUAGAAAGUACAAGUGAUUGGUAGAGUAGCAACUUCUUCUACAAGGAGAGAGGUAUGAUAGAGACAUAACACCAAGUGAAAAAAUUGUGAAAGUAAUAAAAUGUAACGAAAUGAAUGCAUGAUAUCGUCUAUAAGGCAUAUAGCAAAUGUUUAUAAGGAUAGUGACCCUAACUUCACCCUUUGUCUAAGCAAACUAAGACCCCUUUUCUCUUAGUGUGUGUCUCUCUUAUUUCUCACCCCCCAUUCAUUUUUACCUACCAUGAACAUCAUCUACUCCCUCUUUUCAUCAUGGGAUGGCUUCAAUCCCUCUUCUCUCCAUUGAAGAAGCUUUGGUUUCGUCUUCACUCUGCUCCGAAGAAGAGAAGAGGGAUAUAUAUACUCUACGAGGAUGUUAAAUCUUGCCCUUGUGAAGAUGUUCAAGUGCUUUGGUCCAUACUAGUGGAGUCUCAUCCACAUUCUUUGCCACCACGAAAAUGAGGGACUUAUGGGAGGGGAGAUUUAAUUUACAGUCACAUGUACAUAUAUAUCACACCACUUUUGUCCCAACCUAGGUUUUCUUUGUUCAAGUUUUCUAUCUUUUGUGAGUAAGUUCCAUCUGAAAAGUUUUUAAGUUAUUGAAACUUAUGUCUUUCUCUUGAUUUUAGUUGUACAUUCUUCAAGAUGUGGUAAAUAUUUAUAAGUAACUUUUUA